GGCCUCGUAGCUAAGUUGGCUGUACUAAAUCCUUCCCCUUGCUGGCGUGGGUUCGAAUCCCACCGAGGCCG
rnacentral:tRNA from 1 species